rnacentral:rRNA from 1 species
AUACGGAGGUUGCAAGCGUUACUCGGAAUCACUGGGCGUAAAGGACGCGUAGGCGGAUUGGAAAGUCAGAUGUGAAAUCCUACAGCUUAACUGUAGAACUGCAUUUGAAACUUCUAAUCUAGAGUAUGGGAGGGGGAGAUGGAAUUAGUGGUGUAGGGGCAAAAUCCGUAGAUAUCACGAGGAAUACCGAAAGCGAAGGCGAUCUCCUGGAACAUAACUGACGCUAAGGCGUGAAAGCGUGGGGAGCAAACGGGAUUAGAAACCCUAGUAGUCC